rnacentral:piRNA from 1 species
UCUGGUCCAUUUAAACCGUUU